UGAAAGGACACAUAACGGUUUUCGAUAUGCGUUAACGCAAUGGUCUAACUUCAUGAAGACUGCUGAAAUUAAGGAUGUUGUUGAUGAUGUAAAUGACACGCUUUUAGCUAUUAAGGAAUUGAGCUAUACACAAAGGAUAUGUCAAAUACGGUUUAGAUGAUACAUGUUCAAGUUAAUAAGAAAAACUCUCUGUCGAAUUAGCAACCAUUUUUAGGGUUUUGCUUAUAAGAUGGAUGUGUCGGUGAUGUUGUCGAGGAGUGUCCGGGAAUGCUUAGUGAUAGCAUUUUCUUAUACUCCUCGACAAUGUCACCGACCCCUCUUAAAAACUCCAUCAAAACUCUCACACCGGUUGCUUCUUCAACAGAGGGUUUUUUUUUUUGUUAACUGAACCUGUAUCAUCUUAACCUUUUUUGACUGACUGUGUAUUGUUAUUACAUCAAGACUCAAUUAAGAUUAAUUUCUUAAUUAAAGUUGAUUCGCAUCACUUUUCAUCACCACAUCUCAUCUCAUUUUUAUGUCAUACGUUAAUUUAUCAAACCCGGUAACCUUUGAUAUUGACGUUAUACAAUCAUUGAUCUAAUAUACACGAUAUCGAUAUCCAACAAAACCUUUGACGUUAGGAUUGAAACGGCUAAUGGUAAAUGCAUUUUUACCUUUGAUAUUUACUGUAUUAGCUACUAAAUGUGUUAUCCGCUGUUAUACAUAGUGUUGGUUGUAAUCGUUCUUUAUUUUUAUUUCUUAGUAUAGGUAGUGGAUUUAGUAUAAUUGUUAUAAUUAUUACUGUUAGUAUAGGUUGUUUAGGUACUAUAGUUUCUAUUUGCAGCUGUUAUUUCGUAUGUAUGAAUUAUGAAUGGAUGUCAUUAUUUAAAUGGAACAGGCAGCUAUAACGCUUCUAAAUAAUGUUGAUCUUAAUGUUGAUGAUUACA
rnacentral:lncRNA from 1 species